UAACCUAACUACUGUUUAGAGGAACCUAGGUAAUCUGUGUAUGUGUUUACACGGACUUAGGUAAUUCCGUGGUGUUAACUAACGUUUAUAACUUCACUGAUAAAACUAUUGGCCUCAAAUGAAUAGCAUUUCGAUGGGCUGUAAAACAAAACAAAAACAGGAGAUAAAUCUAGGACUUGUGUGUGUAAACAACAGUUUUUAGAGGAAACAAGAAUAUCUUGGGAUGUAUGUAUGCAAUCUGUCUCUAUCACACACACAUAGGUGACAAAUGUACAUGUACAUAUGUAACCGUCAUAUAUAACAAGGCACAUUAUUUCAUGUGAAUCCUUAGUUCCCAACUGGACAUCACCAACAAUAGGAAGCAGUAUGAUGUUGUCCACGCUCAUAUCAUACAAUUACAAGGCAUAAAUUGUGUAGUGGAACUUGACUGGGGUCGAUCGCCAGUGAUCAGGUAGCUCUAUUGAAUUGUUAGAUCAUCCGUAUAGAGUUAAGAGGGUCCCAGGUUCGACUCCGGUCUGACCGUUGCAUUUAUCAUUCUCCUGUUACACCUGUAUCUGAAUAAGUCAACUCCAAAUAUUAACGGUUCAGGGCAUUGCCCCAUCAAAGUUUUUCAUUGUUAGGGGCCAGAGGUCAAGUAUAUGUCACAGAUAAUGUGACCAAUCAUUAUGUUUUUACAGAUAUAUUGUGGGUCGCAAAGCCAAUUUGGCUUACAAGUUUGAUCACAAAGGAGUGAUCACAGCACCACCUGAAGAAGGGGAGAUAGAUCUUGAUAAAUACGUGGAGAUUGGAUUGGAGGCCGGGGCUGAAGACGUCACGUUAGAAUCUGACCAGGAAGGGAAAUCUUUUAUACAGUUCAUUUCCCAACCUGGUGAACUAAAAAUGGUGACCAAUAAGAUUGAGAAAAUGGGUUUAAAUGGAAUACAAAGUCAAGAAGUUUACAGUCCGAUUCAUCCUUUGAUGGUCAGCCAAGAGACAGCCGACAAAGUUAACUCUUUCUUUGAACAAAUGAUGUCUAAGCAUGAAUGUAUAGAGGAUGUGACAUUUAACUUUGAAAUUAUGGAUGAAGAUAAAUAAAAAAGUUUAUUCAGUUUGCUUGUUUUUUUCCUGAUCAAUACCUGGAAGCUGUUGAUAUAUCUACAAAACGUUGAUCUAGUAAUGUCUUUUAUUAUGCUGCAGAUUUUGCUUUCGUAAUUUGUUUCACUUACCCUGGAAAUAAUUUGUAAAAUUACCAAACUUUUUAAAAACUAAUUCCAAUGUAUUUUUUCUCUAAUGAAGCAAUUUAUGAUUUCCAUUAUAAAAGUUGUCGUAUAUUCCUGCAGCAAUUUGUCUUCUCCACGAUAACAAAAAGAUGCUUCAGAUUCACCUGUCUGUAUUGGCGGGAAAGGCGAUGCAUUUCCUGCUUUCAUGUGUCGCAGACAAAAACGAAGUUAACCAUCUGUACAUUAGUUCUUCAAUACUUUAUUAAUAAAUAUAAAAUGUGGUAGUUCUUUAUCAGCGAUUUUUACUCAUUCUGUAUAUAGGCACAAAGUAAAGAUGAUUUAUUUAUAUUAAAUUACCUGAUGCAAUAUGUAAUAUUUUCAUACCUAUUGAAAAAUUCAGCUGAAAUAGAAAAAGGUGUUUCAUGAAAUUUUGUGUCCGAGCAAUUAAAUAACGACAGUAGCCACAGGUGAUUAGGCUACUGCAAAGUUUCGCUUGUAAAAACGUAAAAAA